rnacentral:misc_RNA from 1 species
AAGUCGUAACAAGGUUUCCGUAGGUGAACCUGCGGAAGGAUCAUUAAUGAUUUUUUAAAGCAAACCUGAGCCUUAAAAAAGCUUUUUGAGGUUUUGCGAAUUAUAUUUAAAACCCCACUCUUUUAAAAAUAAUUUUUCAUUCAUCAUAUAUAUAAUAUGAAUAAAAAAAAAGAUCACUUUCAACAACGGAUCUCUUGGCUCUC